rnacentral:rRNA from 1 species
UACGUAGGGUGCAAGCGUUAUCCGGAAUUAUUGGGCGUAAAGAGCUCGUAGGCGGUUUGUCGCGUCUGCUGUGAAAACCCGAGGCUCAACCUCGGGCCUGCAGUGGGUACGGGCAGACUAGAGUGCGGUAGGGGAGAUUGGAAUUCCUGGUGUAGCGGUGGAAUGCGCAGAUAUCAGGAGGAACACCGAUGGCGAAGGCAGAUCUCUGGGCCGUAACUGACGCUGAGGAGCGAAAGCGUGGGGAGCAAACAGG